UGAGGAAUAUUGGUCAAUGGGCGGAAGCCUGAACCAGCCAUCCCGCGUGCAGGAAGACAGCCCUAUGGGUUGUAAACUGCUUUUCCAGUGGGCGAAACACUCGUACGUGUACGAGAUUGACGGUACGCUGGAAUAAGCAUCGGCUAACUCCGUGCCAGCAGCCGCGGUAAUACGGAGGAUGCAAGCGUUAUCCGGAUUUAUUGGGUUUAAAGGGUGCGUAGGCGGAUGAAUAAGUCAGUGGUGAAAGGCUGCAGCUUAACUGUAGACUUGCCGUUGAUACUGUUUAUCUUGAGUAUGGUCAAGGCAGGCGGAAUGUGUAAUGUAGCGGUGAAAUGCUUAGAUAUUACACAGAACACCGAUUGCGAAGGCAGCUUGCUGGGCCAUUACUGACGCUGAGGCACGAAAGCGUGGGGAGCGAACAG
rnacentral:rRNA from 1 species